AGCUGGUAGAGCACCUGGUUGUGGUCCAGGAUGUCGCGGGUUCGAGUCCCGUUACUCACCC
rnacentral:tRNA from 1 species